CCUACGGGAGGCAGCAGUGAGGAAUAUUGGUCAAUGGCCGGAAGGCUGAACCAGCCAUGCCGCGUGAAGGUCAGUGCCCUAUGGGCGUUAAACUUCUUUUGUGCGGGAGCAAUAAUGGUCACGUGUGGCCAGACGAGAGUACCGUACGAAUAAGCAUCGGCUAACCUCGUGCCAGCAGCCGCGGUAAUACGGGGGAUGCAAGCGUUAUCCGGGUUUAUUGGGGUUAAAGGGUGCGUAGGCUGUGAAGUAAGUCAGCGGUGAAAUGCCCCCGCUCAACGGGGUGAAGUGCCAUUGAUACUGCCUUGCUGGAAUGCGGAUGCCGUGGGAGGAAUGUGUGGUGUAGCGGUGAAAUGCAUAGAUAUCACGCAGAACACCGAUUGCGAAGGCAUCUCACGAAUCCGCGAUUGACGCUGAUGCACGAAAGCGUGGGUAUCAAACAGGAUUAGAUACCCGAGUAGUC
rnacentral:rRNA from 1 species